UACGUAGGGUGCAAGCGUUGUCCGGAAUUAUUGGGCGUAAAGAGCUCGUAGGCGGUCUGUCACGUCGGCUGUGAAAACCCGAGGCUCAACCUCGGGCCUGCAGUCGAUACGGGCAAACUAGAGUACUGCAGGGGAGACUGGAACUCCUGGUGUAGCGGUGAAAUGCGCAGAUAUCAGGAGGAACACCGGUGGCGAAGGCGGUUCUCUGGGAAUGACCUGACGCUGAGGAGCGAAAGUGUGGGGGAGCGAACAGG
rnacentral:rRNA from 1 species